UACGGGGGGGGCAAGCGUUGUUCGGAAUUACUGGGCGUAAAGGGCUCGUAGGCGGCCAACUAAGUCAGACGUGAAAUCCCUCGGCUUAACCGGGGAACUGCGUCUGAUACUGGAUGGCUAGAGGUUGGGAGAGGGAUGCGGAAUUCCAGGUGUAGCGGUGAAAUGCGUAGAUAUCUGGAGGAACACCGGUGGCGAAGGCGGCAUCCUGGACCAACAUUGACGCUGAGGAGCGAAAGCCAGGGGAGCAAACGGG
rnacentral:rRNA from 1 species